GACGAACGCUGGCGGCGUGCUUAACACAUGCAAGUCGAACGAUGAAGCCGGAGCUUGCUCUGGUGAAUUAGUGGCGAACGGGUGAGUAACACGUGAGUAACCUGCCCUUGACUCUGGGAUAACUGCGGGAAACUGUAGCUAAUACCGGAUACGACCCUCGGAGGCAUCUCCUGGGGGUGGAAAGAAUUUCGGUCAAGGAUGGACUCGCGGCCUAUCAGCUAGUUGGUGAGGUAAAGGCUCACCAAGGCGACGACGGGUAGCCGGCCUGAGAGGGUGACCGGCCACACUGGACUGAGAUAUGGCCCAGACUCCUACGGGAGGCAGCAGUGGGGAAUAUUGCACAAUGGGCGCAAGCCUGAUGCAGCGACGCCGCGUGAGGGAUGACGGCCUUCGGGUUGUAAACCUCUUUCAGCACCGACGAAGCGCAAGUGACGGUAGGUGCAGAAGAAGGACCGGCCAACUACGUGCCAGCCGCCGCAGUAA
rnacentral:rRNA from 1 species